rnacentral:rRNA from 1 species
GACGAACGCUGGCGGCGUGCUUAACACAUGCAAGUCGAACGGAAAGGCCCUGCUUUUGUGGGGUGCUCGAGUGGCGAACGGGUGAGUAACACGUGAGUAACCUGCCCUUGACUUUGGGAUAACUUCAGGAAACUGGGGCUAAUACCGGAUAUGAUCUCCUGCUGCAUGGUGGGGGUUGGAAAGUUUCGGCGGUUGGGGAUGGACUCGCGGCUUAUCAGCUUGUUUGUGGGGUAGUGGCUUACCAAGGCUUUGACGGGUAGCCGGCAUGAGAGGGUGACCGGCCACAUUGGGACUGAGAUACGGCCCAGACUCCAACGGGAGGCAGCAGUGGGGAAUAUUGCACAAUGGGAGGAAGCCUGAUGCAGAAACGCCGCGUGCGGGAUGACGGCCUUCGGGUUGUAAACCGCUUUCGCCUGUGACGAAGCGUGAGUGACGGUAAUGGGUAAAGAAGCACCGGCUAACUACGUG